AUGGUGAUCGACUCUCUCCCUUUCAUGGUAGGAGGUCAUCGUUGGGACAUCAGAUACUAUCCUAACGGCCGUACCUCAGAGAACGCCGACUAUGUAUCCAUUUAUCUUCAUCUUCUUGAUGAAGAUGUUGCAGAGUUUAAGGUGUUGUACGAAUUUAGUUUCGUCGACCAGCGUCAGAUGCAAGAUUCAGCCCAUAUUCGUGGAGUCCAGCCAACAAACUUUUCCGACAACCAUCGAUGUUGGGGUUACCCUAAUUUCGCGAAAAGAGACGCCCUUGAGAAAUCAAACCAUCUAAAUGAUGAUUGUUUCACCAUCCGAUGUGACCUUACCAUUGCCUCCACCGUCGAUCUCUUCAUUAAGGUACCGACAUCUUGUAUCCAACACCAUAUAAGCGACCUCUUGCAGUCUGAGGAGGAAGCUGAUGUGACAUUCAAGAUUGGAGAUGACACAUUUGUUGCCCACCGGUGCGUGCUCGCAGCUCGGUCUACGGUCUUCAGAGCAGAGCUAUUUGGCCCCAUGAAAGAGGGCACAAUAGGAGGCAUCAUCCAUAUAGAAGACAUGGAAGGAAAUGUGUUUAAGGCAUUGCUUAGCUUUAUUUACACCGAUUCACUGCCUAAGAUGGCGAUAGACACGUUGGAGGAUGAAAGGGAAGACCAAGAAGUGUUGUGGCUACAACACUUGCUUGAAGCGGCGGAUAGAUAUGAUCUUGAAAGGCUGAAAGUACUUUGUGAAGAGAAGUUGUGCCAACACAUAGACGUGGGCUCGGUGACGACUAUUCUUACUCUAGCCGAGCAACAUAACUGUUCUGUAUUGAAGGAGGUAUGCUUUCAGUUUCUCAAGACUCCUGCUAAUUUGAAGAAGAUAGUUGCGGUUGACGGCUUGGAGGACAUAACAAGAACAUGCCCCUCUCUCUUAAAAAUGCUCAUUGCCAAGCUUGUGUGCCUUUAA
rnacentral:rRNA from 1 species